rnacentral:lncRNA from 1 species
UCAGCUACACAGCAGGCCAAGGCAAGAAGAUCACAGGUCAGGUUAAGCCCCAGCAACUUAGUGACCUGCCUCAAAGUGAAAAAUGUGAACUAUGUUAAGGCUGCAGCCAUGUGCAAUGUACAAUGCUUGCCUAGUGUUUCAUGAUGACUCCUGCCACAAAAAAGGAAAGAGAAAAAUAAAAACCAAAUAAAAAAGUGUAUUCUCUUCAGCUAAUUUGUAGUGGAGUAGGAAGAUUGCUUGAAUGAUGGCCUAAGUAAGGAGAAUGGCUGAUGAGUUUUCAGACCAGAGUUAGAUGAGUUCUUUUAGCAAAAUAAAAAAAAGAGUGAGUUGUUUGGUUUUUUUUUUAUUUUUGUUUUUUUUUUUUUUUUGUUUUUUGUUUUGUCUUUAAUUGAAAACCUUGAAGAGGUGAUGAAUAGCUGGAUGUUUUCAUCAUGAUGUGCCACUUUAAAAAUCUUAUUCAGCAGGUAGUUUCUCGGACCUUGUAUCCACUGGCCACAGAACAAAGUGGUCACUGCACAUGAGACCUUUGGAAAUUGAGUAGGAUUUGUGGGGACUAUGAGUUGAAGUAGAGUCCAUUGCUGCAGUCAUCACAUGCUUGUACUUCUUAGCUGAAGCAGUUUUCAUGGACAAGCCUAAGUGACAGAAGGAGAGAGACAAGGGAUCAUUACAAGGGACCAGUACAACUCUACUGGGAACAUUUUGGUGUGGAUUUGGGGGCAGUAUUGACUCUGUACCAUCAUAUCAAAAUAUUGUGGAAUUUAAUGGCAGCAUUUAUUUACUUCAUUUUGCCUGGAAAGCCAGUAUUGUCCCCUACAGUAAAAGCUCAGCAGUGAAGAGAUCUACUAGUGAGUUGUGGUGAGGAUUUAAAGUUCCAUAAACACAUUUGUCUUUGAAAUACUCUUGUGUUUCUAAUAAAUAGUACUGGAGACAUCUGCAUCUGAAAUGCUUAGUGCUCUGGGUACAUCUUUGACUGUCUAGAAUAGCUUGGGAUGGGCAGUCCUUUCCACCAGCUAGAUUCCUGAACUCAAUAAAAAGGAGAAAGUUAGCUAAGUAUAGACUUUCAUCUGCCUUUGUUUCCUAACUGUGGCUUCAGUGUGAACAGCUGCCUCAUACCUGCCACCAUGCCUUCCUCUUCAUGAUAGACUGUUCCUUUAAAAGAUUCAGAGUAAAGCCUUCUUUCCUUGGGCUGCUUUUGUGAGAAUAUUUUAUAACAGC